rnacentral:rRNA from 1 species
AAUAGAUACCCAGGUAGUCCACGCCGUAAACGAUGAGUGCUAGGUGUUGGGGGGGUCCACCCCUCGGUGCCGAAGUUAACACAUUAAGCACUCCGCCUGGGGAGUACGGUCGCAAGACUGAAACUCAAAGGAAUUGACGGGGACCCGCACAAGCAGUGGAGUAUGUGGUUUAAUUCGAAGCAACGCGAAGAACCUUACCAGGUCUUGACAUCCCUCUGACCGGUCUAGAGAUAGGCCUUUCCUUCGGGACAGAGGAGACAGGUGGUGCAUGGUUGUCGUCAGCUCGUGUCGUGAGAUGUUGGGUUAAGUCCCGCAACGAGCGCAACCCUUGAUCUUAGUUGCCAGCACUUUGGGUGGGCACUCUAAGGUGACUGCCGGUGACAAACCGGAGGAAGGCGGGGAUGACGUCAAAUCAUCAUGCCCCUUAUGACCUGGGCUACACACGUACUACAAUGGCCGGUACAACGGGAAGCGAAAGGCGACCUGGAGCCAAUCCUAAAAGCCGGUCUCAGUUCGGAUUGCAGGCUGCAACUCG